AGCGAACGCUGGCGGCAGGCCUAACACAUGCAAGUCGAACGAACUCUUCGGAGUUAGUGGCGGACGGGUGAGUAACACGUGGGAACGUGCCUUUAGGUUCGGAAUAACUCAGGGAAACUUGUGCUAAUACCGAAUGUGCCCUUCGGAGGAAAGAUUUAUCGCCUUUAGAGCGGCCCGCGUCUGAUUAGCUAGUUGGUGAGGUAAAGGCUUACCAAGGCGACGAUCAGUAGCUGGUCUGAGAGGAUGAUCAGCCACAUUGGGACUGAGACACGGCCCAAACUCCUACGGGAGGCAGCAGUGGGGAAUCUUGCGCAAUGGGCGAAAGCCUGACGCAGCCAUGCCGCGUGAAUGAUGAAGGUCUUAGGAUUGUAAAAUUCUUUCACCGGGGACGAUAAUGACGGUACCCGGAGAAGAAGCCCCGGCUAACUUCGUGCCAGCAGCCGCCGUAA
rnacentral:rRNA from 1 species